rnacentral:lncRNA from 1 species
AGAAAACACGUAUAAGUUACUCAGGUCCAUAUCAAUGCUCAAAUCUUGCUGAGCAGGAGCUAAAAAGUCUUUUUUCUGUGUUAGCAGGUGAAUCUCUGGGUCAGCCCAUCUGGCAACCCUGGUUGUACUUUCCAGGAGAGCCUCCCUUGGCUGACAUGGUCCAGAAGAUUCUCCCCUGUCCAUCUGAAGCAGGCAUUUAGGCGAUGGCCCUGGGAGGGGUGGGGAGGGGCUGCAGAGCUUUUACAGUUCCUUCCCUCAGGGGCAUGGUUGGGGCCCCGUCAGCCUCCUGGCUCCAGGGCUUUGACAAGUCAGACUUAGAGUUUCCUGGGCGGUAAAAUUCCCUAAGAAACCCACGUAGGCUUUAAGAAUAUUUGCUUCCGGUCCAGUUCAUGCACAAAUAACUAAAGACAAAAUCUGGUUUGGCAUGCUUUUAGCCUAAAAACUUUAUUUACUGACGUCCACGCUCUGCUUAGCCCCAGUGUCUCAAUUUAAAUGCAAUUGUCCUGAGUUUAUCUGAAGAAACAGGCUUGAGUGAGAGGCAACAUCCUUGAUUUGAUCUUUGCUGCUGUCUGUUACUUGACAGAGAGCAAUGGAUAGUGGUGCUUGAGGAAGGCUUGAGGACAAAGUCUGAGCUUUUGCUAAUUCUUUGGAGCUUCCUUGAGGACUCAAAUGGUGUCAUGAGUUCUCUCUCUCUGUCUCUGCAUCUCUUGGCUGUGCUGCCCUCUGGGUCUCAGGCAGGCUUCAUCAGUAUACCUAGGCCUAUAGAAGUCAUUACCACAUCUGAUUUUCCAGGAAGACAUGCAUAAUCUCCUCUAGCAUCCAUAUAUAAAGGAUUAGAAAAGUUCCCAAUUGGCCCAGUUGACAUCCGAUACCCACCUGAAUCAGUCAUUAGGCCCAGGGGAUGGAGUUCUUUGGCUAGCCUGGGACAUCUGCCCAUCACAGCAUGGAGCGUCACGAUACAGGAUCUGACUGGGACCACAUAAAGUACAUGAGAGGUGGCCCUCUUUUUCCUCCCACAAGAAAUGGAGGGAGGUGCUGUCAGACAAAAGGGGAAAACCUCCCACCGGCAUCCUUAGCCUGAUCUGGCCCCUCCACUGGCCUCUGAGUGUGGAGUGAGACAGAGCUGAAACGGAGAAGCCGGGCUUGGCUGGAAGCGAGGAGGGUGGAAGUGAAGUCCUUCACCGCUGGUGGGAGGUAGGUGAGGGCAGAGGCCAGUCACCUCCUACACCAGCCUCACUGGCCAAGUUGGUCAGCGCGGAAUGGAGUCUCAGCCUGUCUUCCUUACCUUCACCACCUUUGUCGGCCACAACAGUAUGUCCCCUCCUGCACAGCUUCCUGAACUGUGACCUUGCCACUCUUCCAUCACGAGGUGGUGUCUGUUUCACCACCCCCUGAAGCUGGGCAGGCCCUGGGAUUGCUGG